CUCAACCGACUAAAUCGGCACUGAUUCGACGUACCACCAUUCAAAUCUCACCGAGUAAGCUGGAUCUGUGUGAUCACAGGCUGGAUCAAUGGGUGGCCGACAUGCAGACAGCUCGGGUACACGUGCUCAUUAUUGCCCUGCCAAUCAAUCUUCUACCAUCAAUAUGAAAGAUCACCUCGAGCUCCACGGCAUUAACUGCCACACGACCUGUGAUGGGA
rnacentral:lncRNA from 1 species